rnacentral:rRNA from 1 species
CUUUAGUUUGAAACCCCGAAACCAGGUGAGCUACCCCGAGACAGCCUAUUUACUUAGGGCUAACCCGUCUCUGUGGCAAAAGAGUGGGAAGAGCUCCGGGUAGAAGUGACAGACCUACCGAACCUGGUGAUAGCUGGUUGUCUGAGAAAUGGAUAGAAGUUCAGCCCUAUUACGCCCCCGACCAAAACACACCGCCCAAGGUGCAAGGGAAAUAUUUAGGAGUUAGUUAGAGGGGGUACAGCCCCUCUAACAAAGGAUACAACCUUAUAAAGGAGAAUAAAGAUCAUAAUCUACAAGACAUACUGUUCUAGUGGGCCUAAAAGCAGCCACCUAAACAGAAAGCGUUAAAGCUCAGACAGAAAGAAGUUUAUUAUAAUGAUAACAAAUCUUAUUUCCCUAAUAAUAUCAGACCACCCCAUGCCCGCAUGGAAGAAAUUAUGCUAAAAUGAGUAACAAGAAGACUUGCUCUUCUCCAAGCACAAGUGUAAGCCAGAUCGGACAAGCCGCUGGAAAUUAACGAACUCAACCAAAAGAGAGCACUGCGGAUAAUAAAAAAACCAAGAAAACCCCGCAACCAAGCAUCGUUAACCCCACACUGGAAUGCUAUAAUUAAAGGAAAGACUAAAAGAAAGGGAAGGAACUCGGCAAACACAAGCCUCGCCUGUUUACCAAAAACAUCGCCUCCUGCAACUAAACCAAGUAUAGGAGGUCCAGCCUGCCCAGUGACUAAGGGUUCAACGGCCGCGGUAUUUUGACCGUGCAAAGGUAGCGCAAUCACUUGUCUUUUAAAUAGAGACCUGUAUGAAUGGCUAAACGAGGGCUUAACUGUCUCCCCCUUCGGGUCAGUGAAAUUGAUCUAUCCGUGCAGAAGCGGAUAUAAUUAUACAAGACGAGAAGACCCUUUGGAGCUUAAGGUACAAAACUUAACCACGUCAAACAACUUAAUCAAAAAGCAAGAACUUAGUGGGCCAUAAGACUUUACCUUCGGUUGGGGCGACCGCGGAGGAAAACCCAGCCUCCGAGUGGAAUGGGCCAAACCCCUAAAACUAAGAGAAACAUCUCUAAGCCGCAGAACAUCUGACCAAAAAUGAUCCGGCUAAAGUCGAUCAACGAACCAAGUUACCCUAGGGAUAACAGCGCAAUCCUCUCCCAGAGUCCAUAUCGACGAGGGGGUUUACGACCUCGAUGUUGGAUCAGGACAUCCUAAUGGUGCAGCCG